rnacentral:lncRNA from 1 species
CUGCUACCAAAGGAAAUUGAGUUUGGACUUGAACUUUUACACAUAUAUAAAACAUCACUUUUCUAACCUAUUUAAUUUUUUUGAGAUUUUUUUAAACUUUUUUCGAUGGAGUUUUCACAGUUUGCACCGUAGAAGUGGUUUUCAUCGGAUAUUUUGCCAACAACUUAAGCUAUAACAAGAUGAGCAUUUAAUAAGUAACAAGUUAGCACAAGAUAUAAGAUAGCACAAAAGACAUACAUAAGAGAUAUAGAACUUCAAGCACGAUGGCUAUCACAAAUUAAAGCACAAGUGAAUGAACUCGGUUUAGAAAUACCCGAGGCAUGC